rnacentral:rRNA from 1 species
GUGGGGAAUAUUGCGCAAUGGGCGAAAGCCUGACGCAGCGACGCCGCGUGAGGGAUGAAGGUUUUCGGAUCGUAAACCUCUGUCAGAAGGGAAGAAACUACAUUGUGCUAAUCAGCAGUGUACUGACGGUACCUUCAAAGGAAGCACCGGCUAACUCCGUGCCAGCAGCCGCGGUAAUACGGAGGGUGCAAGCGUUAAUCGGAAUUACUGGGCGUAAAGCGCACGUAGGCUGUAGUGUAAGUCAGGGGUGAAAUCCCACGGCUCAACCGUGGAACUGCCUUUGAUACUGCACAACUUGAAUCCGGGAGAGGGUGGCGGAAUUCCAGGUGUAGGAGUGAAAUCCGUAGAUAUCCGGAGGAACACCGGUGGCGAAGGCGGCCACCUGGACAGGUACUGACGCUGAGGCGCGAAAGCGUGGGGAGCAAACAGGAUUAGAAACCCUGGUAGUCC